CCAAUUCAAGAACCUAAGGGUCUUGUCCAAAAAUGGGCAAGUUAAAAGGGAAAAGGGUGAAACUCCCUUGCUGUCGCGCAACCGUAAAGCCGGAUCGCUGCCCUGAGGUUUCCGCCAGA
rnacentral:ncRNA from 2 species